rfam:Pseudomonas balearica DSM 6083 genome assembly, contig: Ga0056079_106
CAUCUCUGAAGCGCAGGACGCGCUCGGGAUCAUGGAUGACAGGCCAUUGCCAGGACGGCGCCCCGAAUGGAUUCGGAAUGGUCAGAAAAAACCCGCCUCGGCGGGUUUUUU